CCUACGGGAGGCAGCAGUGGGGAAUAUUGGACAAUGUGCGAAAGCCUGAUCCAGCCAUGCCGCGUGUGUGAAGAAGGCCUUCGGGUUGUAAAGCACUUUCAGUGGGGAAGAAAGCCUUGGGGCUAAUACCCUCGAGGAAGGACAUCACCCACAGAAGAAGCACCGGCUAACUCCGUGCCAGCAGCCGCGGUAAUACGGAGGGUGCGAGCGUUAAUCGGAAUUACUGGGCGUAAAGCGCGCGUAGGCGGUCUGAUAAGCCGGUUGUGAAAGCCCCGGGCUCAACCUGGGAACGGCAUCCGGAACUGUCAGGCUAGAGUGCAGGAGAGGAAGGUAGAAUUCCCGGUGUAGCGGUGAAAUGCGUAGAGAUCGGGAGGAAUACCAGUGGCGAAGGCGGCCUUCUGGACUGACACUGACGCUGAGGUGCGAAAGCGUGGGUAGCAAACAGGAUUAGAUACCCCAGUAGUC
rnacentral:rRNA from 1 species